rnacentral:rRNA from 1 species
AUUGAACGCUGGCGGCAUGCCUUACACAUGCAAGUCGAACGGCAGCACGGACUUCGGUCUGGUGGCGAGUGGCGAACGGGUGUGUAAUGUAUCGGAACGUACCUUUCAGUGUGGGAUAACGUAGCGAAAGUUACGCUAAUACCGCAUAUUCUGUUAGCAGGAAAGCAGGGGAUCGUAAGACCUUUCGCUGUUUGAUCGGCCGAUAUCAGAUUAGCUAGUUGGUGGGGUAAAGGCCUACCAAGGCGACGAUCUGUAGCGGGUCUGAGAGGAUGAUCCGCCACACAGGAACUGAGACACGGUCCAGACUCCUACGGGAGGCAGCAGUGGGGAAUUUUGGACAAUGGGGGCAACCCUGAUCCAGCAAUGCCGCGUGAGUGAAGAAGGCCUUCGGGUUGUAAAGCUCUUUCGGCCGGGAAGAAAUCGCAUAGGCUAAUACCCUGUGUGGAUGACGGUACCGGAAUAAGAAGCACCGGCUAACUACGUG